rnacentral:rRNA from 1 species
GAUGAACGCUGGCGGCGUGCCUAAUACAUGCAAGUCGAGCGAACAGACGAGGAGCUUGCUCCUCUGACGUUAGCGGCGGACGGGUGAGUAACACGUGUAUAACCUACCUAUAAGACUGGGAUAACUUCGGGAAACCGGAGCUAAUACCGGAUAAUAUAUUGAACCGCAUGGUUCAAUAGUGAAAGACGGUUUUGCUGUCACUUAUAGAUGCAUCCCGGCCGCAUUAGCUAGUUGUUAAGGUAACGGCUUACCAAGGCAACGAUGCGUAGCCGACCUGAGAGGGUGAUAGGCCACACUGGAACUGGGACGCGGUCAAGACGCCUACGGGAGGCAGCAGUAGGGAAUCUUCCGCAAUGGGCGAAAGCUUGACGGAGCAACGCCGAGUGAGUGAUGAAGGUCUUCGGAUCGUAAAACUCUGUUAUUAGGGAAGAACAAGUGUGUAAGUAACUAUGCACGUCUUGACGGUAACUAAUCAGAAAGCCACGGCUAACUACGUG